AAUGCGCGAAAGCGUGACGGAGCAAUGCCGCGUGCAGGAUGAAGCGGUUCGCCGUGUAAACUGCUGUCAGGGUCUAGGAAGAUCUGACCAGAUCCAGAGGAAGGGCCGGCUAAUCUCGUGCCAGCAGCCGCGGUAAGACGAGAGGCCCAAGCGUUAAUCAGAAUCACUGGGCUUAAAGGGUGCGCAGGCGGAUCGGUAGGUGUGUUGUGAAAUCCCUCGGCUCAACCGAGGAAUUGCGAUGCAAACCCCCGAUCUUGAGGCAAGCAGAGGCUGUCGGAACGUUCGGUGGAGCGGUGAAAUGCGUAGAUAUCGAACGGAACGCCAAAGGGGUAGCCAGGCAGCUGGGCUUGUCCUGACGCUCAGGCACGAAAGCGUGGGGAUCAAACAGGAUU
rnacentral:rRNA from 1 species